UCACUUACCUGGGGACGCCGACUUCGACUUGGAGUGCAGGGGCGGAUAUCACGCCUGCACGGAGUCCACCGGCGACGGUGAGUAAGAUGAACACCCACCGGAUUGGUUUAAUUCAUUGCUCUCCCGUUUCUCUCAGGAUUGAUGGUUUCUCUUGUCUACAUUUUACUAGAUACCACUUCUACUACUACUGGUGAUGCUGCGGCCAGUUACUGGAGCGGCCGCCAUGGCAAGGUCAAGGCCAAGCACGGCUAGACUCCUACCUCUGGGUGCGGCCGCCAUGGAAGCCGUCCUGGGACUGAUGAUGAUCAGAGUAGAUGUCAUGUAAUGUCUGGUUAUGACAGACGGUUGAUGUACGUCUCAUUUACUAGUAUAGUACUAUAAUAUAAUAAAAUCUCAGUGCGAUUUGGAAGAAAGAGCACACAAUGAGAUGUUGCAGGCAAUGUUAUAAUCUGAAAUGACUUAAGCUGGUUUCACUCGAUUCGGUGAAAUUAAUUUACUCCUGUUGCUUUGUGGAAUGAAUCUGCCAAUUAUUCAUCUCAUAUAAACCACUGCAGUUUCGUAUAGUUAUGAUGCCUCUCAUAAGUUUGGUUUGUUAAACAUCAUUAUAUGUUAUGUUAUAUGCGGCAGGAGGUAUAUGGUUCGGUGAAUAUCAGAGAUAAGUCCAGGAGGUAGUUUGCAUAGAGAUCUUCUUGUAACCAUCUUCCUUUCUUGUUUCUCAAGAUGUAUCUUAGAUCUCUCUUAUCUCUUCUUUCUUUCUUGACCGCAUGUACAAGCCAAUUGGCUCCCCUGCUAUAUAAACAACACGUCGCCCUCGACUACGGUAAGACGUUUUCCGCUCGCACACGGUAAUCAGAGCCCCUCUUCUUCAACUCAUCUAGCUACCAGAACCACCUGUGUCGAAGCCGCACCAUGUCUUCCUCCUCCGGCGCUUCCUUCCAGCCUAGUCUCAACGGCCAGGUCACCGAGAAGCUAUCCCGCACGAACUAUGUGCUAUGACGCACGCAGAUCAUACCGCAGCUGCGUGGCGCCGGGGUCUUCGACUACGUCGACGGCACCCAUCCGGAGUCGGCGCAGCUCCUCGUCACCACCAAGGAAGGCAAGGAGACUUCAACGCCCAACCCUCUCCACCCCAUCUGGGUCCGAGAGGACCAGCAGGUCCUCGGCUACCUGCUGAGCAACCUCACCAAGGAGGUGCUCCUUACGGUGACCACGGUCACCACCGCGGACGCGCUCUGGACGACGCUCGCUGGCAUGUACUCGUUGCAAUCGGUGAGUCGAAUCAACAACAUCCGUACUUCUCUCAUCAAUGCGCAGAAGGGCAACCUCUCCGUCGCCUCCUACUUCGCUACCAUGCGCGGCUAUGCCGAUGAGCUGGCUGCGGCGGGCAAGGCCAUCCUUGACGACGAGCUCAUCUCCUACAUCAUCCACGGGCUCGACGCCGACUACCAGCCCCUGAUCUCUGCACUGGAUGCUCGCGUCACGCCCGUCACCAUCGACGAGCUCUUCGCUAUGCUGUCAAACUUUGACCAGCGGAUGGCACUUUCCAUGGCAACGGCGGCGGCGGCUUCAAGUCCUCCGCGAACUCGGCGUCUCGUGGUCGUGGUGGCUCCUCUCGGCACGGCGGCGACUUCUCCCAUGGCAGGGGGAGGUCUAGUGGAGGAGGCAACGGUGGCGGCUCCAACUCCCGCAACGGCGGGCGCGCUCCCGCCAACAAAACUCGUCGCGGCAGUGGCAAUCCUCGUGCACGCCCUGAUGCUCCGCGGUGCCAGAUAUGUGGCAAGUUGGGGCACACAGCAAAAGAUUGCUGGUACCGCUACGAAGAGGAUGAUGACUCCUCUCAAGAUGAUGACAAGGUGGCGGCGGCCGCAGAUGGCUCCUACGGAAUCGACACCAACUUGUACAUGGACAGUGGCGCCACCAACCACAUCACCAACGAGCUCGAGAAGGUGACCAUGAAGGAGAAAUACCGUGGCAAGGACCAAAUCCACACAGGUAGUGGUGAAGGUAUGGAGAUCCGUCACAUUGGUCAUUCAAGUUUUAGUACCCCUUCUCGUAGAAUCCAUCUUAGGAAAAUUUUGCAUGUUCCUAAUGCCGACAAAAGUCUUCUUUCUGUCCAUAGAAUUGCUCUUGACAAUCAUGUCUUCCUUGAAUUUCACCCCUAUUUCUUUUUGAUCAAGGAUCAGGCGACGAAGAACAUUCUCUAUCGAGGUAGAUGCGUUUGUGGGCUCUACCCGUUGAUUCCGGAGCUUAGGAGACUAAAUAAACAAGCUUGUGGUGCUAUCAAGAUUUCAUCCACACGAUGGCAUGAUCGUUUAGGACAUGCUGAUUUUUCCUUAGUUGAAAAAUUACUUAGAAAGAAUAAGCUCCCGUUUGUUGGUGAGCGCAAUAUUGAAACUAUUUGUGAUUCCUGUCAACGAGCUAAGAGUCAUCAGCUACCCUAUCCUAUAUCCACUAGUGUGUCUAUCAAACCACUGCAAUUAAUUUUUUCAGAUGUUUGGGAUCCUGCCCCCAACUUAGUUGGUAGACAUACGUACUAUGUGAGUUUCAUUGAUGACUAUAGUAAAUUUUCUUGGAUUUAUCUACUUAAGAAAAGAUUCUGUCUUUCAAGUCUUUAAAAAUUUCCAAGCACUCGUUGAACGCAAGUUUGACAGCAAGAUACUUGUUGUCCAAUCAGACUGGGGCGGAGAAUAUGAGAAAUUAAACUCUUUCUUUCAAACUCUCGGCAUCUCUCAUCAUGUGUCGUGCCCCCACGCUCACCAACAAAACGGCUCAACUGAACGCAAACACAGGCACAUCGUUGAGGUUGGCUUAGCUCUCUUAGCUGGCGCCUCCAUGCCUCUCAAAUUCUGGGAUGAAGCUUUUCUCACUGCCGUUCACAUGAUCAACAUGCUUCCCAGUCAUGUUAUUAAUAACGAAACUCCAGUAGUACGACUCCUCCAUACCAAAACUGAUUACACAUCUCUUCGCGUUUUUGGGUGUGAAUGUUGGCCCAAUCUUCGUCCAUAUAAUCAACGCAAACUCAUGUUUCGGUCAAAACAGUGUGUGUUUCUUGGAUAUAGUGUUCAACACAAAGGUGUAAAAUGCCUUGAUGUGUCUACGGGACGAGUCUAUAUCUCCCGUGACGUUGUUUUUGACGAAACAAAAUUCCCGUUUGCUGAUCUUCAUCCCAACGCAGGUGCCUUGCUUCGCAAAGAAAUCCUCCUCUUGCCAUCUCAUCUCACCGGCCUUGAUCAUGGGGGAAACACUUGUGAUGAUUCAAUGCUGACUAACCCUCCUAAUGGUACAGACAAGCUUUCUGGUGAUGUUGCAGGAACAAUCAGCGACAAAAAUGAAAAAGAACUUGGUCUUCAGGCACCAUAUUUGCUGCGUCAGGAAUCGGGGAGCAAAUCCUCCUUGGGAUCGGCGCCAGAUCAGGUGGAGCCCAGGAAAUCCACGCCGGGAUCAGCGCCAGCAGACGCGCCAGAUCUGCUCGCAGCGGAAUCUGCCGCGCGUGCGGGUUCCCGUGGCCCCACGCCUACCACGCGCUAGCCUGCGGGUGGUGGCAGCCCCGCGCCAACUCUGCGCCAAUCACCAGACGCCAUGUGGCGGCGCCCUGAUGGCCCAGGCGGUGUGCGGUUUCCCGACCAACCGCAGUGCUACAAGAGGCGGCCCCAGGUGCAGCCGACCGGCGCGAACUCCAGCGCUGACCCACCCAGCCAGGAGGGCGCGGGAUCCGGUGCAGAUCCGCGUGGCCCCGCGCAAUCACGGGCUCAUGACGAGCCGACCGGUGCGCCUGGAUCUUCUACGGCUGUUGCAACCUCUCCAUCAACUACUGAAGCCAUAGAGGAUCCAGUGCGGCUGGCGGGUGAAUCUUUCUCGGGAUCGCCUACGUUAGGAACUCCUGUGCGCGACUCCGGAUCUUCUGCGCCGGCUAACUCUGCAGCACAGUCUCGGCGGCUCACACGGUUGCAAAAAGGUGUAACUCAACCUCUCAAUUAUAAACAUAUGAGCAAAUAUGGUCUCGUUUGUUCUAUAGAUGCACAAGCUGAACCAAGAACUUUGGAUGAGGCAUUUGGAGAUGAAAAGUGGAGAAAAGCAAUGAUGGAAGAAUAUGUGGCACUGAGGAAAAAUAAAACAUGGCAUCUAGUUUCCCCACGGCAAGGUAAAAAUCUCAUAGACUGCAAGUGGGUGUUCAGAGUUAAGAGAAAAUCUGAUGGAACUGUUGACAGAUACAAGGCAAGGCUUGUUGCCAAAGGUUUUAAACAGAGAUAUGGGAUUGAUUAUGAGGAUACAUUCAGUCCAGUUGUAAAAGUUGCUACUAUUCGUCUUGUUCUGUCUAUUGUUGUCUCUAGGGGAUGGAGUCUCAGGCAGCUAGAUGUACAGAAUGCGUUCCUUUAUGGUGUUCUGGAAGAAGAGGUGUACAUGAAACAGCCUCCUGGGUUUGAGAGUAAGUCUAAUCCCUCAUUUGUGUGCAAACUUGAUAAAGCACUCUAUGGCUUGAAGCAAGCACCAAGAGCGUGGUACUCACGUCUUAGUCACAAGAUGCAAUCACUUGGUUUUGUUCCUUCCAAGUCAGACACCUCACUGUUUAUUUACAAUAAGCUCAACACAUGCAUAUUUGUUCUCAUCUAUGUUGAUGAUAUUAUUGUUACAAGUUCAUCUAGUGAGGCCAUUGCAUCAUUGUUGAAGGAUUUAAGUGCAGAAUUUGCUCUCAAGGAUCUUGGAGAUUUGCAUUUUUUCCUUGGGAUUGAAGUGAAGAAACACAAGGAUGGACUUCAUCUCUCUCAAGAGAAAUAUGCAACUGAUGUGGUAAGAAAGGCAGGUCUGCAGGGUUGUAAACCAUCCUUCACUCCAUUGUCCAGCUCAGAAAAAUUAUCCCUCACGGAAGGGCAACUCUUGAAUCAAGAGGACAGUACAAAGUACAGGAGUUUAGUAGGUGCACUUCAGUACUUGACUUUAACAAGGCCUGAUAUCUCUUUUGCUGUUAACAAGGUAUGUCAGUUUUUGCAUGCUCCUACUACUGUGCAUUGGACUGCUGCAAAACGCAUUGUCAGAUAUGUCAAACAUACCUUGAGCAUUGGUCUUAGUUUCAGCAAGUCAUCCUCAACUCUUGUUAGUGCCUUCUCUGACUCUGAUUGGGCAGGCUGUCUGGAUGACAGACGCUCUACUGGUGGAUUUGCAAUAUUUUUUGGACCAAACUUGAUUUCAUGGUGUGCAAGGAAGCAGGCCACAGUGUCUCGGUCUAGCACAGAGGCAGAGUACAAGGCAUUAGCGAAUGCCACUGCUGAAAUCAUAUGGGUUCAAUCAAUGUUAAAGGAACUUGGUAUACGAAGUUCUCAAGCUCCAUGUAUGUGGUGUGAUAAUCUUGGUGCCACCUACUUGUCUGCAAAUCCAGUCUUUCAUGCCAGAACAAAGCACAUAGAGAUAGACUUUCACUUUGUCAGAGAAAGAGUUGCACGGAAACAGCUUGAUAUUCGGUUCAUUCAUUCCAGAGAUCAAGUUGCGGAUGGGUUUACUAAGGCCCUGCCUAUGCGAAGCUUUGAAGAAUUUAAGCAUAAUCUCAACCUGAUGAAGUUGUGAUUAAGGGGGAGUGUUAAACAUCAUUAUAUGUUAUGUUAUAUGCGGCAGGAAGUAUAUGGUUCGGUGCAUACUAGAGAUAAGUCCAGGAGGUAGUUUGCAUAGAGUUCUUGUAACCAUCUUCCUUUCUUGUUUCUCAAGAUGUAUCUUAGAUCUCUCUUAUCUCUUCUUUCUUUCUUGACCGCAUGUACAAGCCAAUUGGCUCUCCUGCUAUAUAUAAACAACACGUCGCCCUUGACUAGGGUAAGACGUUUUCCGCUCGCACAUGGUUCUGUAAAUUGGUUUGCCAAAGCACUGUCUACAGUGAUUUUUGAUCCGCAUUAGUAACUUCCCAAACUAAACGUCUUUCCUAAUCCAACAGACCAGCCUUCUACUUCCGCACCGAUCCUGUAUUGGAAGUAUAGUUUAUAUACAAAAACAAGGUGAUAUAACAACAACAACCGUGUAAUGGCAUGUAAAUCAAGUUGAGUUCUUUGCAAGAAAUCUCAACUCUAACGCAGGCGAAUGUAUCUCCAAAAAGAAAGAGAAAAAUUCUUUACCACCAGUAUAUAUAGUUUCAUGUAAAUCAGAUCAGCUUCCCUGACAAGGUUCAGGCAUGGAAAGCUGCAGGCAUAAGCUGGCCUAAACCACUGAACACACUAUAACNNNNNNNNNNNNNNNNNNNNNNNNNNNNNNNNNNNNNNNNNNNNNNNNNNNNNNNNNNNNNNNNNNNNNNNNNNNNNNNNNNNNNNNNNNNNNNNNNNNNNNNNNNNNNNNNNNNNNNNNNNNNNNNNNNNNNNNNNNNNNNNNNNNNNNNNNNNNNNNNNNNNNNNNNNNNNNNNNNNNNNNNNNNNNNNNNNNNNNNNNNNNNNNUCAAUUGUACUAUAUCAAUGUAGAGCCGAUGUGUUCGUUCCUAAAAGAAAAAUCAGAUAGGCCAGUUGAUAUAAAGAAAUAAAAAUCGGUUAAAGAGACUGUGUGUACAAUAUGCAUACAUCUUGAUCUGUUGACUGGUGAAAUUGAUAUCGAUAUCAGUUACUACUCCCUCCGUCCCAUAAUAUAAGAACGUUUUUUACACUAGUAUAGUGUUAAAAACGUUCUUAUAUUUUGGGACAGAGGGAGUACUAGUUAAUUAGAUUAAGUUGUUUUCUAGAUCAGCUAAUUAUAUACUGGUUGUUAUUUCACAUGGUGUCACUAGUGUAACUGUUGCAGAAUUGUACUAGUAUGCCUAAUAUAGAGGUUUAUGGAUCAGAUAUGGGACCCUGAAAACGUGGACAGAUCCUCUCUAUACACAUGUCCAUUGCUUGAGCAAUACUCCUCUUUAUAUGUUUAUAUACAUUGCAAAGAGAAACAGAGAAUAUAAUUUUUCAGUUGAUUCAUGGAACAAGGAGGGGUAGUUAGUUGUAACAGCAAAGGGUUUUAGUUCACUCAAUGCUUGAUACGGAAGCAGCGCAGAGCAUCUGAGUUUCCUUAUGUAUGCUCAUCUCUGCGAAAAGAAAAGCUUCUUCGAGAAUCAAGCUCAUGUCUGUGGUGAAAUUAGAACUUCUUCGAGAAUCAAUGGUGUAUGCAUCAGAAUAAACUUCUUCGAGAAUCAAUGGCGUAUGCAUCAGAAUAUAAUCAAUGGCGCGUGCAGCAACAGAAGCUUGGUUCAGUGUUGGAAGUAAAGAGCAAUGUAAAUCAGAUCAGCUUCCCUGACAAUGUAGAUGGCAAGUUAUAUCUGGAAGAAUUUGGUUGAUUCUCACUCUGUUCAGUGAAACGUACUCUGUUCUCUUGUACGUAGUGGCUGGUGAAACAGCUUCGAGCGGCAGUAAAAAAUAAAAUAAGAGGGAUGUAGAUGGCAAGUUAUAUCAGGUGGAAUUUGGUUGAUUCUCACUCUGUUCAGUGAAACGUACUCUGUUCUCUUGUACGUAGUGGCUGGUGAAACAGCUUCGAGCGGCAGUAAAAAAUAAAAUAAGAGGGACGUAGUUCAGAGUUGCUCGAUCUCACCUGAUUAUUCAGGUGGAAUGUGACGACCCAAGUUGUGAGAGAGGGUCGAACUCUCGACCUCAGGAUCACUCACGUCUUAGCUAUGAGACCUACGCGCUAGCCAACUGCGCCACCACCCCUUUGUUGUAUUAGCAGCGAAACAACAUCUAUUUUUACAUAAGCGUUGCCAUCUUUAAAAGCUUUCAAACAAUCUGGUUGGAAGUCAGGAGAGAUUAUGUUUGCUUGUGUAAAAAUAGCACAGGAUGAGCACACGGAUCAGUUGAAAAUUCAACCAAGAUGGGGAAAACUCAACACUAGACAUCAAAUGAGCUCCAAAAAGAGCAGCGUUUUAGUGGUUUAGUUUAUACUGGUGAGCAACUUUGCGUCAACCUUCUGUUCCUCUUUGCGCAACUCGUACAAAAUGCUAACUGAAGAUCAACUGAGCAUUGAGUCAUUCAUUCUAAAACUAAAUGCGUUGAGUGACUGCGGUUCCUCUUUGCGCUGGUAUCCUCUAUUCUUAAAUAGUUACAACCCACCACUUAUUUUUCCUAGUUAUGCAAACAUGUCACAUAAGCAAACCAUGCAUUAUGUCAGAAGUUAUAUUUUCCUGCAUUAGCCUAUGCAUGCAGCGCCACAUCAUCAAUUCAUGUAUGUUAGUCAUAAGUUACCUUUUUAUUAGUUUGCGUUUUUAUGGACAUUAUAUGUGUUGGGCGAUUGCAACAUACCCAUGUAGCUCAUCCUUGUCAUUGUUGUUACAAACUACAUUCUUUUAACUAUAAUUCAAAAGUUUUUCCUUCUUUUUAGAUAUUUCAUAUGUUUUUAUUGGUUUUUAAGCUUACAUUUGCUUUCCUGGCUUUAAUUGUUUCUGGAAAAUAUUUAUGCACUUCUUUUUAACAAAGGCCCCGCAGCAACGCGCGGGGCAUCAUCUAGUAGAACUAAUUGUGCGCUUACUUACGCACCUGUUAUAUACGGCCAAAUCCUCUGCAAAGAAGUGCCACUUGCACCGCCAAAUCUUUCGUAAAGAAUAAAUUGGCACUUACAGUGUAAACUAGUAGGUAGACCAGGCGGGCACUAUUUUUUGGAUAAAAGAUUGAUUUUAUCAACUCAAAAUAAAGAAUUAACGGGAUACAAACAUAAUGAGCACAUACCCAAUUAUGUCGGCAAAGAGCAAAGUUAUAUUUAGACCAAAACUCUUCUUAGGUGGACGAAAAAGGAAAAAGCUCCGAAGCGAUCAAAACUGCGAUCGACAAACUACGCGACCAUAUGCACCAAAAAAAUUGACAUCACAAAGGCAAUGAGAAAGGUUAGCAACGCCUCUAGGCGAGGGGAAUGUCGAUCAAGCCGCCGCCACUGCUGGAUCCAACCACCAAAGGUCAAAUCAUGGGGUUUCACUCUCAAGAUAAGACGCAAGCAGAUCCUAGCUAGCAAUGCCAAAUACAAGGUAACGACGCAAAAACACUGUCAUUGCCAAUUAUUACCAAUUAGGGUCAGACUUUGGGUUUUCACCCUAGGGCUCAAGACCGGGUACUCAAAAAGCACCACCUAAAUCAAAGUCACCAUGUGUUACCGCCACCAUUUUCUGUGAUCCCAGUAGCUACAUGUGUAGCACGAUCUUGACAUGAGAUUCCAUGAAAGUGAAGACCAUGACCUCAUAGGCGAGCAGUCAAUCCACAAAAAGUGCUAGUUGCCACCAAAGGCUCAAAACAAAAAAGGUCACCGUCACACAUGCGAUGAAAAUUGGCGAGGCUGGAAGGUCAGCGGCACCGCCAAAAAUCCAUUGGGGACACUCUGGCAGUCCCGCCCCGUCCUCAUGCUCUGUGUUCUCGUAUGUUAUAGUCUAAAGAGGCAAGAUGAUGAUGGUGAUGAAGGCGGCGAUGGAGGUGAAAGAGGCAAGAUAGCACCGGCCCUCCAAGCAAUGUGGGGCGUUGGUGGAGACUCCUGCUUUUUUCUUCCAUGUCUUAACCCUUCCUCUUUGGGGAAGACAUAUCUUGAUGCUGCAGUGGAAUUGUGUCGGACUGAGAUGGAUUCGNNNNNNNNNNNNNNNNNNNNNNNNNNNNNNNNNNNNNNNNNNNNNNNNNNNNNNNNNNNNNNNNNNNNNNNNNNNNNNNNNNNNNNNNNNNNNNNNNNNNNNNNNNNNNNNNNNNNNNNNNNNNNNNNNNNNNNNNNNNNNNNNNNNNNNNNNNNNNNNNNNNNNNNNNNNNNNNNNNNNNNNNNNNNNNNNNNNNNNNNNNNNNNNNNNNNNNNNNNNNNNNNNNNNNNNNNNNNNNNNNNNNNNNNNNNNNNNNNNNNNNNNNNNNNNNNNNNNNNNNNNNNNNNNNNNNNNNNNNNNNNNNNNNNNNNNNNNNNNNNNNNNNNNNNNNNNNNNNNNNNNNNNNNNNNNNNNNNNNNNNNNNNNNNNNNNNNNNNNNNNNNNNNNNNNNNNNNNNNNNNNNNNNNNNNNNNGAGAGGGAGAGAGAGAUGCUAGGGUUGGUGUCAUAAAUUGCCAGUCUUCACGUGUCUCCUCCGCAGAUCCACCUCCACUCAUUUGAUGCAUGGGGUCUAGAGGAGCCCCAACCUCUCCCAGCACCUUCGUUGUCUUUCGAGGAUCUUGUAAUAACAAAGGGGACAUAAUCGGUUAAGAUUGUUGAAGUUAUUUGAAUCCCAUCGCCCAAAUCAUAUGGUAUGACCGUCGGUACGAUCGUGUGCAGUUAUACCAUGCCUCGUCUUCUCUAUUGUCACCUCGUAUGGACAAGCCUGACUUCCUGGUACUGGUACUGGAUAUUCAAUUUGGGCUCACUUGAAAACCUUAUUUUAUCGAUCUCACCAUAGGCCUUGUAUUUGGGCCCCGUAACUUCGUCAUAUUGAUUUUAACUUUGUUCCUUCCAUCGUGCUACAUUCAGUGGCAGAGGCAGGAAUAAUUUUCAGGUUUGACAAAGUUUAUGGAGAUAAAAGUGUAUAAUGCAACUAUCUAAGAACUCGGUCGAAUACAAAAUAUAUAUAUUACAUUGUGUUUCUUUUGAAACAAAGGCGAUCUUGCUUCCAGCCGCCAGGGCGCUGCCUUCCGCCACCGUCCUCCAUGAGAGAGCACUCGAAUAAUGGACCUUAUUUUUGGUCGCCGUAACAAAAUUUGUUUUAAAAUUUAAACUCCAAUUCUAAUUAUGAACUAGUACCUUUCUUUCAUUAUGUAUUUGCUUUUAUUCAAUGCCAUUUACCUACUCGUCCUCGCAAGGACGUCACUGCCUACAGAUCGCCGGCCACGACUUACUCUUGCCGGCCGACAAGCCGCUCUCCGUGUGAUGGUUAUUUUUUGCAUCAUCCCUUUCCUUGCGGGCACACAUGAUCAAGAUUGAAGACGCGUGGUUUAGGGGGGUUCCAGAACUGGGAAGAUGUUGUCACUCACGGUUGUGAGUUGACCGGCAAGAUCGUUCUGCCUGCACGUGUUUUAGUUCUACUAGCAAAAAUGCCCGUGCGUUGCAACGGAAGAAAAAACACACACGUCCUAACCCAAUAAAUUAAAUAUGUGAUGUUGUAAUAAUUUAUAUACCACAAAAGGUGUAAUCAAAAGGAUAAUUCAUAAGUCGGACAUGAAACACAUUUUUUGAGUUUCCCGUGUGUGCCCUAAUCUGUGUGUAUAUAUAUUAGUACAACAUCGCCUAACCCUUAUCCAGCUAUGGACGGUGUUCGUGUCCUUUUCAGUUUUCACGUCCUAAAGGCAAGAGCUCCUCCCUCCCAAUUGGCGUGUGGGGCGAAAUAGUACGUGAGCAAGCUGCACCAUUGUCACGGUCUCUCUACUAUUCAUCCCUCCUCUCUCUUGCCUAUCUCACCAACGACAUCGAUGACAUUCAGACUUAAGGAAUAUCUUGAUGAUCAACAAGUAACAGUGAGCCCCUAAUAUCUUCUACCUUAAGAAUGAUUUCUUUCCAAUAAUCACUCACUUUUAGUUAGCCUAUCUGAUAAUGUAUUCCUAAGAUCUGACAAGCAUGAAUAUUAAAUUAUAACAAUAACAACAAACAACAGCAAGUAAUUAUAAUUUGUGCUCAUCAGGAAAAAAGAAUUGUAAUCGGUGCUAGCACGCAUAGCAUGCAGCCAAGAUUUUAUGUUUCGUUUUGUAAAUUUUACUGCCCUUGAACGAAAUGGGCGAAUUUUGAACUUUUUUCGGAAAAUCUCGGAUGAAAAGGACAAUUCAAAAUUAAAAUUUGUGGAUGAAAAUAGCGAAAGUAUAAACGAAAAACGACCAAAAUUGUACAAUUUUUUUGAAUCCUACAACAAGACUAAAGCACAAUCAAACAUAACAACACGGGUCCCUUGAUUGAUAUACACCGACGAAUAGCUCUGAACAAUUCGAGUCAGCAGACUACCUCAAACUUGAAUCAACAUAAAUACCACAGUACUUACUACUCAUCUUGGUCUGGUUAGUAGUAGUACAUCAAUCCCAGUAUGAAGGCACGUGCAUGCACACCACAUUCUGGUCCCGUUCCAGCCGCCUGGAUGCCGCAUCCAGCAGCUUCCAGAGUUCCUGUUCAUACAGUUUUGAUUAAAAAAAAGCAACAUGCACACCCAGAAAUAUCCCCACCGACGGCCCACUGCGUGCCCCCUUCCUAUCCACACAGCGCCGCUCCUCUAUUUUAACAUGAUGGCUCACCAUGUUGCCAAUUAUCUUUCUUCUCACUCUCAUUGAUGAUGGAUGCAAUAUCCACGUGAUCGCAAUGCAUUCAACGUGGUAAAAAAUGGGCUUGUCACUGUACGACACACUUGUCAUUGUCUCGCGCAAGGGAAUGUUUUGAACUUUGAAAACAAAUCUCAUCGACCAUGGACUACUCGCCAACCCCAAGACAUAUAAAGAAUUUCCAAAAUUAAUCAAAUCCUAGAUAUAAAAUACAUCUGAAUAGGAAGAGUUUUUUGAAUCGACAAACAUUCUUUUUAAAUUUAGACAUUUUUUUAAAUUCACAAACAUUUGUUUUUUAGACGAACAUUUAUUGAAAUGCAUGAAUAGUUUUUGAUUUCAUGAUGACUCAGAUUCACAAAUAUGUUUUGAAUACACGAUCAUUUUAUCAAGAUCAUGAACUUGAUUUUAUUUAACGACAUUUCUUUCCAAAUUAUUUUUAUAAUUUGCAAAUAUUUUUGUAAAAUCAGUAACAUUUUUUCAAACCACGAAAAUUUUAUGAUUUCCUGAACUUUUUUGAAUUCACACACAUUUUAUAAUUUCUCAAACAGCUUUUUCAAACUCGCAACUUUUUAAUACUUGAAAAUCUCAAAUUGAUUUAAAGAAGGAGAAAACAAAAACAGAAGUGAGAAAAGAGAAGACCAGAAAAAAGAAAAAAAACAGGGCAUUAAGUCCGCUGGCUGGCCCAUGUAGGCCUAAAGUAAGUGGGAAUAAGUCAUGAGAAAAAGGUGGAGGAAAAUAUUGGUAGAAGCUGGGGUUCGAACCCUGGUCUACAGGGCAGAAGACAAUGCAUUGAGCCACCGCGCUGCUACUGCGUCACUGCUAGUUGUUGGAUAUUAACUGUAUACAAACUCUGGAAACGACAGCGACUUUGAAAAGAAAAACCGAAUCGUUUUCUUCACUUACGGAUGGCAUAGCGGGUAAUUUCUAGCAACUUCGGGGGGCGAUUUUUGUGACGUACGGGCAGAAGCAAUAUCUGCUUUAUUAGUAUAUAUAUAUAUAUAUAUAUAUAUAUAUAUAGGUAUAGAUAUAGAUAUAGAGGUAUAGAUAUGGAGUCAAGUUAUAGGCCCGUUACAUCAGCCCCACGACCUAUGUACCUGUAUCAGGCCCAUGGCUAACACGUAGUGUACUUGUAUAUUCCCCCUCUCCCGGUGGAUCCUAAUUGACGCCCGUGUGCGCGUCCAGAAAACGUGGCUUCGCUGAAGCGCGGGAUGAGCUGCGCGCGACGGGCCGGCCCACCUCGCGAAUUCAAGCGUUGCGAGGCAAACCGGUUUUGGGAACCCUUCUAGAAGGUUCCCAGAACCGCUUUCUUUCUUUUUUUAUACUUUUUGCCGGUUUUCCGAUUUUCCCUGUUUCUUUAUUCUUUUUUUUGUUUCUGUUUUUUAAAUCCCGUUUCUGUUUCUUGUUCCUUUUUCUUUUUCUUUAUUUUUUCGUAUUUAUUUUCAUCCUUUGUUUUCAAAAAAAAAUUAAAUUUCCUUAUUUUCUUCAUGAUUUAAUAAAGACACACAGUUUUUAAAUUUUGUUCACAAUUCAAAAUUUGUUCAGCGUACAUUACAGAAAUGUUCAAUGUAUAUUUUAAAUUUGUUCGGGAUAUAUCACAAAAUUGUUCAGUGUGUUUUUUAAAAUUGUUCAGCGUACAUUACAAAAAUGUUCAAUGUAUAAUUUAAAUUUGUUCGGGAUAUAUCAGAAAAAUGUUCAGUAUGUAUUUAAAAAUUCUUCAGCACAUGUUACAAAAAUGUUCAAUGUGUAUUAAAAAAAUCUUCUUUUUGGAAUUUCGAAAUUUGUGUUCAACUUUCCAGUAAUUGUUCACGUUUGGAAAGUUUUGUCGAAUUUUAAAAACUGUUCAUGGUUUUAAAAAGGGUUUCGCGUUUGUCAAAAUUUGUUCAGAAUUUUUUUUUUGUUCUUGAUUUUCUUGAAUUGUUCGAAAAUUGUGAAAAGUUGUUUGGUACUUUAAAAUCGCGCGCUGCCUCCGAACCAGAAGAAGCUAUCAGCUCAACUGGUUAGGUUUUAGAGUUCCGGAGCGAGACGUCAUGGGUUCGAUCUCCUGCUGGCGCGGGAAAUCCUAUUCGGCGCUUAUGCGCCGGUUCCCCAACUGGCGCCUGCAGGCGCAUCUAAUUGGGCUAGGCCCAUCUUGCCAUCUCUUCUUCUUUCUGUACAAAGGAAAGAAAAGGCAACGCGUCGGGCAGAAUUCGAACGUGGGAUCUCCUCGCCGUUUGCAACCUGCGCUAGCCACCCCACCUGCCUCACAACUACGCUCUUUUACACUUUUUUCCUUCUUAUGUCUUUUUUUCGGUUCAGAAUGCUUUCGCUCGCUUUUUAUUUCUUUUUCUUUUUUUGUUUUGCUCAUUUGAAUGAACUUUUUUUGAAUCAACGAACGUUUUUCAAUACCGACGAACUUUUUUUGAGUUCGAUGAACUUUCUUCGAAUUGGGUGAACUUUUUUUGAAUUUGAAGAACCUUUUUAAAAUCGGAUGAACUUUUUUCGAAUUCGAUGAACUUUUUUCAAAUAUGAUGAACUUUUUCCAAAUUGGAUGAACUUUUUCCCAAAAUCAAUUAAAUUUUUUCGAAUUGGAUGGACUAUGAUUCAAAUUUGAUGAACUUUUUUCGAAUUCGAUGAACUUUUUUCGAAUUUGAUGAACUUUUUCCAAUAUCGAUGAACUUUUUUCAAAUUGGAUGAACUAUUUUUCAAAAUUGAUGAACUUUUUGUUUAAAUUCAUGAACUUUUUUGUGAACACGUGAACUCUUUUUUUGCAUGUUCGUGAACCUCAUUUGAAAUAUGUGAACAUGUUUUUAAAAUAUUUUAACAAUCUCAACGGUAUUGUUAAUGCACAAUAAAUAGCGCGUCUUCUAUUUUCGUUCUUAAGACGUAUUGCGCUGUACAGAGAUAUGAACUGUUAGUUGGUCUGGUGGUAGGACAACCUAUACGUAAGCACGACGGCGCGUGUUUGACUCCAGACGACAGCUAAUUUUCGCACGUAUUUUCUCGCGCUGCUCUUAUUUUUGGGCCGGCCCAGCUAGACGCCGCUGUGAGCGCCGGUUGCGUUCCCCGGCGCCUACAGCGCCGAAUAGGACCUCCCUGCUGGCGCGGGAUAUUUUUGGCGUUUUUUCCCACGCGCUCGAGCUCCAGACCUUCAAAUGGGCCGGCCCAUCAGCGUAUACCUUCAGCGAACGCUCCUCUACUUGACGCUAACGAGCGUGAAGCGUCCGACAGGAGCUCCCCCUCUCCCCUAGCCUAAAAAAGGGUAUCUGACGCAAAAUUUAGGUGUGGGCAUGUAUGCCUUGCCAACUAGCUAGUUUUGCCACUGGGUACUUUCAUGGUAGUUCGAAAUCACCUACAAACACCAAAACAUCAAGUAGUUCCUAGGUGAGCUUUUCAUGUCAUUUUGUUAGCCCAUCCUUAAGAGUCAAUCGACCUCAACUCCUCAAGUCAAUCCAAUCUCAACAGCUCCUGUGCCGCCACCAUGAAUCGAAUGAAGUCGACAAUAGCACUUUACGGACAUUCCAACCUUUUCAUCAGGCCGUUUCCACAACUAUUUCAUCAAACAACUCACUUUUAUCAUAGACGUUGUCAACAGAACACCUCUUUUAGGGCGAACCAACCUAUAAUUGGAUGGUUUGAAGGACAGUAGUAGUUCCAGCCCACCAUGGUUCAAGUCAUGGUGCUCGCAUUUAUUCUUGAAUUAUUUCAGUAUUUCCAGCGAUACGCUUUCGAUGGGUGGAGACAUUCCUGUCGACUAUGACGCGCCUUUGGUGACUUCGUCAAUCUCAAGAUGAUAUGUUAGCUCAUUUUCUCAGAGAUGCUCAUAUGGAUAGGAUGUGCGUGUGCGUAUUCAUAGGGAUGAAUGUAUGCGCGUAUACAUAAGUGCAUGCGUCUAUACUUUGUUUAAAAAAAACACCUUUGUUUAGGUCUUUAGGGUGGAGGGGUGUCAACACAGUACCUUUGCCAUGAACCGGUUUUUUUUAGACACGCCAUGAACCGAAUGAUGCCGACGCCACAGUCCAAACAAAAAGGCCCAAGGCCGAGAAGAUUGCCAUGAUUUGUAUGGCCCGGUCUGUCUGGCCUGCGGGCCCAAGGUCUCACCCAUUGCCUCCAGCUCGAAGCCCUAGCGUCUUCCUCUCCCUUCUCCCGCAGCACCUCCUCUCCAUAGUCCCAGUAGGCCACAGCUUGGAGGUCCCAGCGGACCGCAAAUUGGCUGGGUCUUAGCGGCAAUGGAGGAUGGCGGCCAUGGGAAACUUCAAAUCCAAUUGGCUACCCUACGUAUUGGUACCACAGUGCAGUCAAAUAGGAAAUCAGUGAAAGAUGGAAUCUGAGCUGCGGCAAGAUUACCCUGACACGAUUUGGUCGGCAUGCAGGGACACCCUAUUUGCAGGUCACUUACCUUCUUUCUCCACUCUAACUAGAUUAGUAAAUGAGCUCUUAAGGCCAAUCUUAUUGCGACAUUUUUAGUAGUGACCACUUAGAAUGUUUGACAGGCUACAAAGAAUGGGAAGAUGGAGUGCAAUUUUCACCUAAUUUGGAACUUACAUGGCUCAAUCUCGCGUUAUUGCUUAUUGGAAACCUCUAGGAUUUGGCAAGUGAUCAUAUUGCAGUUGAACAAAAUAUUAUUUUUGUCAGAACUGACAGUCAUAGAGUAGUGAAAAAUUAGACCAAUGGGACAAGCCCAACUCCUACUGACAAACAAACAUAGAAAAAAGAGAGAGAACCAGAGAUCUGAACAGUAAUUACUUGCUCGGCAUUGGAGCUAUCAUGCUAAUUGUUUCAGGUUUGGAAGGAAACACGUUGGAGUUGCUAUAUCGGUUUCACAUCAAAAGAAAUGGAUGGCAGGCAUUGCACCUUGCCAUCGAUUGGUCCCAUCUAUUUGUUGCAAUCAACGACUGUACCUUACACAUCAAAGCCCCGUAUAUAAUAUUGAUUCGUAGUUCAUUCCCCGUUAAUAUUUUUUCAAACAUAGUCAAUUGCUAACAAUCCUACCCAAACUUGCUUGGGACUAAAGGCUUUGUUGUUGUUGUUGUAUAGUCAAUUGCUAACAAUAACUUGAUUAAGUUGCUAUAAUAUGGGUAGAGGAGGCAUCUUUCGGGUAGAAAUUGCAUCUCAGUUCUCUUCUGUAGAUCUGAAUACAAUAUACACUCAUAUUUGCAUCCUCUAUUGCCGUUUUAUGCUCUUUGUUUGUGUUCUUUAUUGCCAGUUUAUAGUCUUUGUGUUGAUUUAUGCAUUGUCAUUUUAUAUAUAAUCUUUUCUACAAGGAGAUGUGAGGACCUUCUUUAUUAGAAAAUACCCAUUGAGAGUAUUGACAGUUAUCUGAAGCAGAUCAACUGAGUUGUUCCUUUAAUAUUUUUUAACAAAACAAAUGCAGGCUUAUGUUUCCGAAGAAAUUACCAUGUGAGAAUUCUCUACACCUCUAGUUUAGAUGCUGCACACGGCACUUGCCUCUUCUAGUUAGAUCUAUUUCGUUGUGUGUUAUCUCUCACAUUUCUUUCCCUGGAGGUCCUCGAAUGAAUAUUUGGUGGUUAUAGUAGCAUAUAUAACACAUCUUUGGAUGUAAACCACUGGAUACCUGGAAGGCAAUAUUGGUUUGGUACGAUUAUCCAUUAAACUCAUACCUAAGUAUUUCAUGGGUUGGCCUCUUUCCCUCUACCAGAACUCUACUUAUUUCACUUGUUAUGCAUCUUAUGUUUUCUGAUUAGGUGACAAACAGCUUAUUCCUUUAUGCUUCAACAUGUACUGCAGGGCUCUCCAGUUACUCAAUCGAAACUUUAAAGGUAAGUUCCUUACUUUCCUUCUUGCUAUAAUUUCAACAAUUAUGUGUCACUUAUGAUGAUAGGGUGGAAACCGCAGUUAGUCUUAAUUAGCAAAUAAGACUUGGUGUUCAAUCAGAAAGUUGUUGCCAAAUAAAUACUUCUGAGUCUGAAACCAGUUAUUUCACUGCAAGAUUACUAGAAGUGCUAAUAUUCCAAUAUGCCACAUUUUAUGCUAAGUGUUUUUUAAUUAAUGUUCUUGCUAGGUAUUGUCCACUAUACAUUCAAUAAAAAUAAAGAGUUAUGCAUGUACUUGGUAGUGGUUUACUCUUCUUCAGGUUGCAAAAAGGCAACACUUCUUUGUGCUACUUGCAAUUUUUUAUGUUGUGUCACGAUGAUUGGCAUUCAAUUCAUAACUAAAUUCUCUCUAUUUAUUCUGCUUAUUAUAGGUCACAAUUUCAUUUCAGUCGCCAUUCAUUCUUUGUGAUUCAGUUUUGGUUUGUUGCUCAUGUAGUUUGAAUAUAAAUUCAUUGUCUGUUUUUAAUGCUUCUUAUCACCAUUGUUUCACGGGUCUGUUAGCAAGGUAGAAGGUGAGAUGGUAUGAAUAAACAUGAACACCAUGUUUUUACAGUUAUUAUUACUAUAAAUGAUUAUCACAACUGCAAAACAGUUGUCUUGCUAGUAUGUCUUAGUAGAUUACUAUGGCCCCGUUUGGUUUGGACUUUUUAGCCGGAUUCCGCAGCCCGGCAGCCAAAUCUUAGCCAAAGAGCGAACCAACCAGCCCCGAUUCUAGCGAAGCGAAGCCAAAAAUACAUGCACGAGCGGCAGCAACCCACGAGGUGCUUUCUCGGCUUCCGUUGUGUGCCUCUUUGAACCUACCCCCGAUGCGUUAGUAAAAUUACCCCUUUGCCACUGUAUGGGUCGACCCAGAGCCAUGACCGAUCCCGGGUACCACGACAGAAAUCAUCUCGCCUCUUGUCUCCCUCUCUUUGGCGAUUAGGGUUGCCCCCACGCCGCCGCCUGGGGCUGACCACCGGCCUGGUCCCUCGUCCUGGCCAGCGUGCCGUCGAACGCCUCCACCCCCAUCCUCCUCCGUCCCCCAUCCGCCCUAAGAAGAUCUCCACUCCGCCGCCAGGAGCACUUCUGCUGCCCCUGCCGCUGCAAAUAAGGGGAGAGGACCACCGGCUAGCCAGCACAGUCGGACGCCUCCAUCCCCCCAUCCGUCGGACGAGCUUCUCCACCCAUCCAAGCUGCCCCACCGCAAGCUAGCUCGCUGAAGGUACUUCCGAAUGUUUUUACAGCUAUUAUUACUAUAAAUGAUUAUCAAAACUUCAAAACGGUGCGGCCCAGUACACUGGCCAACGUCUCAUCCGGACGUCGCCAGCCGCCAGACGCCGCUGCCUUGCCGGCAGGGCCGCCGCCCCAGGAACCGCAGGCCUCCGAUGUGAUCUGGUCCACAGGCCAACGAGAUCGAUCUGAGCGCCGAGAUCCCCGCCGCCACCUUCCCCGGUGCCCGCGCGGGCUUUCCAGGCGGCCGUCUCCGAUGGCGACAAGGAGGGAAGGGGGCUGAAGGGGUGGCUGGGCGGCGAUCCCUAAUCGCCCUAGAGUCGCCCUAGGGGCGACGCGAGGGCCACGGUCGCGUAACUCCCCGUCAAACGCGAGCAACAACUUGUGUACACAGCACAUUACUCCUCUUUAUAUGUUUGUAUACAUUGAAAAGAUAGGAAACAGAGAAUAUUAUUUUUUAGUCGAUUCAUGGAAUAAAGAGGGGUAGUAAGUUGUAGCAGCAAAGGGUUUCAGUUCACUCCAUGCUUGAUACGGAAGCGGAGUAGAGCAUCUGAGUUUCCUUAUGUAUGCUCAUCUCUGCGAAAAGAAAAGCUUCUUCGAGAAGCAAGCUCAUGUAUGUAGUGAAAUUGGAGCUUCUUCGAGAAUUAGUGGUGUAUGCAUCAGAAUAAACUUCUUCGAGAAUCAAUGGUGUGUGCAUCAGAAUAUAAUCGAUGGCGUGUGCAGCAACAGAAGCUUAGUUUAGUGUUGGAAGUAAAGAGGAAUGUAGAUGGCAAGUUAUAUGUGGAAGAAUUUGGUUGAUUUCCACUCGGUUCAGUGAAACGUACUCUGUUUUCUUUGUGCUAAGUGUUUUUUUAUUAAUGCUCCGUGCUAAGUAUUGUCCACUAUAUAUUCAAUAAAAAAUAAAGAGUUAUGCACGUAUUACUCGGUAGUGGUUUACUCUGCUUCUUCAGGUUGCAAAAGGUAACACUUCUUUGUGCUACUUGCAAUUUUUUAUUUUGUGUCAUGAUGAUUGGCAUUCAAUUCAUAACUAAAUUCUCUCUAUUUAAUAUUCUUAUUAUAGGUCAUAAUUUCAUUCCAGUCGCCAUUCAUUCUUUGUGAUCCAGUUUUGGUUUGUUGCUCAUGUAGUUUGAAUAUAAAUUCAUUGUCUAUUUUUAAAGCUUCUUAUCACCAUUGUUUCACAUGUCUAUUAGCACGGUGGAAGGUGAUAUGGUAUGAAUAAACUGCUUUCCCGGCUAGCAUGUCUUAGUAGAUUACUAUGGACCCAUUUGGUUUAGCAUUUUUGGACGGAUUCCGCUGCCUGGCAGCCAAAGAGCGAUUUGACUAGCCUCGAUUCUCGGAAAGCAAAGCCAAAAAUACAAGCACGAGUGGUAGUAGCCCACGAGGUGCUUUCCCGGCUUAUGAUGCGUGCCUCUUCGAACCUACCCCCGUUUCAUUGGUAAAAUUACCCACCUUUGCCACUGGAUGGGUCGACCCAGAGGCCAGGACCGAUCUGAGGAACACUCGCCUCUCAUCUCGCUCUCUCUAGUGAUUAGGGUUUCCCCACGCCGCCGCCAGGGGCUGACCACCGUCCUGGUCCCUUGUCUCAGCCGGCGCGCCGCCGAACGCCUCCAGCCCCAUCCUACUCCGUCCCCCAUCCACCCGAAGGGGAUCUCCACUCCGCCGCCAGGAGCACUUCUGCCGACCCUGCCGCUACAAAUCAGGGGAGAGAACCACUGGAUUGCCACUACAGUCGGGAGCCUCAAUCCCCCCAUCGACCGGACGGGCUUCUCCACCCAUCCUAUCUGCCCCACCGCAAGCUAGCCCACUGAAGGUACUUCCGAAUGUUUUACAGCUAUUAUUACUAUAAAUGAUUAUCAAAACUUCAAAAUUGUUGUCUUGCUAGCAUGUCUUAGUACAUUACUAUAUGAGGCCAUUGAUAGCUACACACACAAAAAGCAAACAAAAUGUCUGAUAUAGCAUAGACCAAUCACAUUGCUAGUUGGCCCCGUGGAGUGCACCUUUUCUUCUAGUUAGUAAAUAAAAGAUGAAACUUUACAUGGUUAGCAGGCUGCACACUCGUACUGGUCCUCAGUCCAAUCUCCUAAAAAGGAAAAGAUCUCAGCUCUCCACUUAAUUUUCCAAUCUCCAGCAUAACAGCGGUCGGAGAGAAAGGAGGAGUGGCGCCACCGGUGACUCCAGACCUCUCCGUCCCUGACAACGGCAACCAAAUAUUUGAGGUCAGGAAACCCCAUUCCCUUCAUCUCCUCAAUCUCCUAGAAAUAAUUUGUUUAUGUUAUUUCCUUGAGGAAAACCCUAGCUUGAUUUCCCCUCAUAACCCUAACCUUCCCUUACUACAACAGUGGAGUGGAGGGGGGGGGAGAGCGGGUGCUGAGAUAAGAGGAGGUAGAUAGGUGAUGAAUCCAGUUGAGAUUCCACACUGGUAACAUCCAGCUUCUGUGAAUUUGUUUCAGGUUCUCUCUCCUUAACUUUGUGAACGUUAUGUUGUAUGUCAAUUUGUUUUUGGGUGGCUGUUGUUGUUUCAGGUUCGAUCCCGUUCCCAACUCAGUGUGUGUGGAUGGAAAGAGGCUGCGACAAUCUGCAAUGCCUGUUGACCCCGUGUCCAAGGUGCUCGACGACGAUAACCUUCUCAUUGAGAUCCUCCUCCUAAUCGGCUACCCCACCACCCUCAUCUGCGCCUCUCUUGUCUGCAAACGUUGGUUCUGUCAUGCCUCUGACCCUGCCUUCCUCUGCCGCUUCCGCAAGCUCCACCCACCCUGCCUCCUCGGCGUAUAUUUCAAGACCAGGGCAAACCGCUCACGCUUUGUGCUGAUGCUACCGCAGCCCCCAGAGAAUAAUGCAGUCAUCAGCUGCGCAAGCUCCAGCCUGGAUGCACAUAAACUCAUCUUGGAUGAAUGCAAUGGCAUCAUCUUACCAAAACAUUUAACAACUGCGAUGAAGAACCCAGAUCAAUACAUAUAGUGCUCAACCCACUCUGCCCUGCAAGAGGCAUGGUUAUCGUACCUCCAUUCCCAUGCUACGGACGGCAGGACGGCUAUUUCUACAAGUUCUGUCAACUCCUAUUCGAAGAAGAAGGUGACGGCUUGUCAUACUUGUGUGUGCGGGGUGAACUUUCUAAUGAUGGAAGAAAAUCUACGGUGUAUGUGUAUAUGUUGCAAGAUGGUGUUUGGUGCUUGCAUACCUCAGCAACGACACAACUUCCUUGUCGGCCACAGAUACUGAAUCCUCUGCUCGUUGACAAUAAAAUCUACAUGGCGGCCACCCAGAGUGAAAUUCUUGUGUUGGAUUUGACAGCCUCAAGUUUCUCCACAUUUCAGGUCCCACAAGGGUUGGUUAUUGGUUACAAACGAACCAUGUUGUCACGGGCAUAUGAUAAUUCUGGUGUGUAUCUCAUUCAUUUGAACGGGCUUCAGCUUUGCAUCUGGCUGUGCACAGGGGACAACUGGUUGCUGGUGGAUACCAUCUGCUUGCGUGAGAUGUAUGCUAAAUUGAGGAUGCCUGAUCUCACAAAUUGGGUGUGGAUAAAUCAGGUGGGGGUAAAUGCUGAGUUUGUUUUCUUGAAGAUGGGUCGAUACCUAGUCUAUGUAGGCAUCAAGUGCAGGAAGUUGUGUAAAGUGUAUGAGAUGACAAGUGAGGAUCGAUGGUUGGGUCGUAUCCAUCCUUGUAUGAUGAUCUGGCCUCCUACAUUCCAUGCGCUCAAGGAUGGUCCUGCAAGGUUUGUUUUUUGGCCUUUGGGUGAUGUUAUUGUAUUUUCUUUUUGUGUGGUCGCAUUAGAAGCAUAGAUGAAACAUUUAUAAUAGGACGAUGAGGGUGUUCCCUGUGUAUGGGUGCUUGGUCGGCAUGCUGGGAAGAAAAAUGGAGGAACCGGGAAUAAGUAUGCGAAUUUAGAGGAAUGGGGGUUUGCUGCUGAACUAUGAUCCUCAAGAUAUCAUGUCUCAGAUUGUUAAUGUUGACUGUUUUCAGAAUGUUCUCUUAUAAUUGAGUUAAGGGGUUUUCCUGGAAGCAUUCUUGUGUUUAUGCAUCAAACAAUUUACACUGGCAUGCUUGUGUUUAUGCAUCUCUUCUCUUCUGAUUGAGAUGUAUCGCUACGAACUUCUUGCUCUUAUAUGCAAGGGUAUAAUAAUAUAAUCUAACAACUUGUGCGAUAGGUACCUGGUUGAUGUUCCUUUCACCCUCCUCUGUGGCCAUCCUGUAUGUUUUAGUUGGCAUUUAAUCUGUAUUUUUGGAAGAGUUCUUAUCAUUUUGACUUUUUCUUUCCGCGCGAGAAUCAUUUGACCUCAUAGUACAACCGGAUGUCUUUUCACUUGUUUUGAUCUUGUCACCAUUAAUGUCGCCAUCCUUAUUAUUGGUCUGUUUUGCUUGGAACAGCAAUGCCAUGUGAAGACGAGGAAGGCCUUGGAUCAAAGAAGAGCGACUGCGGCUGGGUCGUGCGGUAGCGAAAACCCCUCGUCUUAGAGAAGCGAGUGCAUUAUAUCUAUAUGUUAGCUGUGUUUUGAGUCGGAGACAAGUUAUUGCUCGGUAAUGGAUUGGGAUGGUGGAUAAAACUGGAUCGGGUGCUCCUAUUGUUGUUUUGAACAGACAUGUAUGUUUGUUUGAACAAGUUGUGUUUUUUUUUACUUUCCAGUGUAUUGUCCAUUGCAAAACCUAUGCUCGACUCCGUUAGCAACGUGCCUGUGGUAUCGAUCUGCUAGAUCAUAUUGAGGCAUUAGCAUUUGUUGCUAGAAGUAAGAAUAAGACAUUUAUUUUGAACAGACCUUUGUAUGUCUGUGUUGCCCAUGGAGUAACAAGAAGAUACUUUUAUGGAAUUACAGGAGCACAACAUCAAAAUCGUUUUUUUUUACUUUUUUUUUGCGAAAAACAUCAAAAUCGAAUGACCGUCAAGAAGAUAGUUAUAGAUUACUUGAUUGUAAUUCCUUGUUGUUCUUUACUCGAUGGUAUCCAUAUAUAAGCCCCCCAUUGUUUUUCACCACACCAUGGGCCUCCUGAGGAAUUCCAUGUACAUCUGGUAGCUGGCACCCCAACUUCCUGGGCUGGAAGUAAGUACUCAGACUUGCUGAUGUUUUUCUCAAAAGAACCCCCACUUCCACUAGAAAUUCAUCCACAUAUCACACUUAUCACUCCUGGUCUCCAACAGUUGCCUCGUGAAAUCCUCAUAGUCAUAGGAGAGUAGAGUUCAAAGACCAGCUGCUUGUCAGAAUUUUCACUAGAAACGACAGUCUCAGGAGCUUUUCUUUUUCCACGCUCUCAGUCUCAGUGUUCCCUGAUCCACAUUAAAUGGACACUUGCUGAUAUAUUGGUCAGUCUUUUACAUGGUUUCACUACUGUAACUGUUGCAAAAUAAUAUGUCUGUAUAUGUUGAUAUACUACAUUGCAAAGAUAAGAAACCAGGGGAAGUUAUGGACACUACUUACCCAUCUCUGUAUGCAUUGCAAAGAUAAGAAACUAAGAUUGGAAUUUGUCCACCUAGGGGAAGUUUGUUGUAACAACCAUCCUUGAAAAGGCAGCGGAGCAGAGCAUCUCAGUCUCAAAUUACAAGAUUCUUUGAGAAUGAAGCUCAUCUCUGGAGGGUGUAGAAAGAUGCUUCUUGGAGAAUCAAUGAAUGGCAUGUGCAGCAGCAGAAGCUCCACUGCACCUGCACUCCUACCCUAUAAAAAGAGGGGCACCGUGCAGCCCAACGAUCCUCACAGGGCAAGAGAGAGGAAGAAGCACAAGUCCAGAAGCAAUGGAGGGGAGGAAGAAUGAGAGAGUGAAGGCCGGCGCCGUCUGCGUGCUCGUCAUCCUGCUGUCGGCCCAGCGGCUGUCGGUCGGGGUUGCCGACCCCACGUCGGCGUUCUGCCAGUGCUACCUGGGCUGCUUUGACCCAGACUGCGCAGAUAUCAUGUAAUGUCUGGUUAUGACAGACGGUUGAUGUGCGUCUCAUUUACUAGUAGUACUAUAAUAAUAUAAUAAAGUCUCGGUGCGAUUUGGAAUACAGAGCGCACAAUGAGAUGUUGCGGGCAAUGUUAUAAUCUGAAAUGACUUGGGCUGGUUUCACUCGAUUAGGUGAAAUUAAUUUACUCCUGUUGCUUUGUGGAAUGAAUCUGCCAAUUGUUCAUCUCAUAUAAACCACUGCAGUUUUGUAUAGUUAUGAUGCCUCUCAUAAG
rnacentral:lncRNA from 1 species